rnacentral:rRNA from 1 species
CACUGCCGAGAAAAGCCUCUAGAUAGAAAAUAGGUGCCCGUACCGCAAACCGACACAGGUAGUCAAGAUGAGAAUUCUAAGGUGAGCGAGCGAACUCUCGUUAAGGAACUCGGCAAAAUGACCCCGUAACUUCGGGAGAAGGGGUGCUCUUUAGGGUUAACGCCCAGAAGAGCCGCAGUGAAUAGGCCCAAGCGACUGUUUAUCAAAAACACAGGUCUCUGCUAAACCGUAAGGUGAUGUAUAGGGGCUGACGCCUGCCCGGUGCUGGAAGGUUAAGAGGAGUGGUUAGCUUCUGCGAAGCUACGAAUCGAAGCCCCAGUAAACGGCGGCCGUAACUAUAACGGUCCUAAGGUAGCGAAAUUCCUUGUCGGGUAAGUUCCGACCCGCACGAAAGGCGUAACGAUUUGGGCACUGUCUCAACGAGAGACUCGGUGAAAUCAUAGUACCUGUGAAGAUGCAGGUUACCCGCGAC